UACGAGGGGUGCAAGCGUUGCUCGGAAUUAUUGGGUCGUAAAGGGCAGGUAGGUGGUCUCAUUUGUCAGGGGUGAAAGCCUUGGGCUUAACCCAAGAAGUGCCUUUGAAACGGUGAGACUGGAGCCUUGGAGAGGGUCGUGGAAUUCCCAGUGUAGCGGUGAAAUGCGUAGAGAUUGGGAGGAACACCAGAGGCGAAGGCGGACGACCUGGACAAGUACUGACACUCAACUGCGAAAGCGUGGGUAAGCAAACAGGAUUAGAACC
rnacentral:rRNA from 1 species